rnacentral:rRNA from 1 species
UACGUAGGGUGCGAGCGUUGUCCGGAAUUAUUGGGCGUAAAGAGCUCGUAGGCGGUCUGUCGCGUCGAUCGUGAAAACUUGAGGCUUAACCCUGAGCUUGCGGUCGAUACGGGCAUGACUGGAGUUCGGCAGGGGAGACUGGAAUUCCUGGUGUAGCGGUGAAAUGCGCAGAUAUCAGGAGGAACACCGGUGGCGAAGGCGGGUCUCUGGGCCGAUACUGACGCUGAGGAGCGAAAGCGUGGGGAGCGAACAGG